GAUGAACGCUGGCGGCGUGCCUAAUACAUGCAAGUCGAGCGAACAGAUGAGGAGCUUGCUCCUCUGACGUUAGCGGCGGACGGGUGAGUAACACGUGGAUAACCUACCUAUAAGACUGGGAUAACUUCGGGAAACCGGAGCUAAUACCGGAUAAUAUAUUGAACCGCAUGGUUCAAUAGUGAAAGACGGUUUUGCUGUCACUUAUAGAUGGAUCCGCGCCGCAUUAGCUAGUUGGUAAGGUAACGGCUUACCAAGGCAACGAUGCGUAGCCGACCUGAGAGGGUGAUCGGCAACACUGGAACUGAGACACGGUCCAGACUCCUACGGGAGGCAGCAGUAGGGAAUCUUCCGCAAUGGGCGAAAGCCUGACGGAGCAACGCCGCGUGAGUGAUGAAGGUCUUCGGAUCGUAAAACUCUGUUAUUAGGGAAGAACAAAUGUGUAGUAACUAUGCACGUCUUGACGGUACCUAAUCAGAAAGCCACGGCUAACUACGUG
rnacentral:rRNA from 1 species